UACAGAGGGGGCAAGCGUUAUUCGGAAUUAUUGGGCGUAAAGGGCGCGUAGGCGGCCUUGCAAGUGGCGGGUGAAAUCCCUCGGCUUAACCGAGGAACUGCCUGCCAGACUGCAAGGCUCGAGACCGGGAGAGGUGAGUGGAAUUCCCAGUGUAGCGGUGAAAUGCGUAGAUAUUGGGAGGAACACCAGUGGCGAAGGCAGCUCACAAAGCUGUAACUGACACUGAGGCUCGAAAGUGCGGGGAUCAAACAGG
rnacentral:rRNA from 1 species